rnacentral:rRNA from 1 species
GAUAAACGCUGGCGGCGUGCCUAAUACAUGCAAGUCGAGCGGUAAGGCUCUGCACAGGUUAUUUGAUCGAGAUUUAUUCUUACGUUUCCUCCGGCUAGAGGAAGCAAAAGAUCGAAUAAUGUGCGUAGAGUACACGAGCGGCGGACGGCUGAGUAAAGCGUAGGAACAUACCCCAAAGUGAGGGAUAAGCACCAGAAAUGGUGUCUAAUACCGCAUAUGGGUCUUCGGAUUAAAGCUUCGGCGCUUUGGGAAUGGCCUGCGUAUGAUUAGCUUGUUGGUGAGGUAAUAGCUCACCAAGGCGACGAUCAUUAGCUGGUCUGAGAGGAUGAUCAGCCAGACUGGGACUGAGACACGGCCCAGACU